rnacentral:lncRNA from 1 species
GGCGCGGGCGCGCAGCCCGCCCGCGCGGCCUGGACUCUUUUUGUUCGGUUGCUUUGGAUUUUACAAAAAAAAAAAAAAGCCCAGAAACUUUCGAACAAAACCAAACACCCGGACGACCCUCUCCGGUGAGCGGCGAAGACAGCCCGGUAGGCUGCGUCGCCCGAGCCCCGGGAGAGAGGAGCGAAGAUCCGGAACUCGCCAACUCACCCCGGGCAUCCUGCCCGCCGCCUGCUCUCUGCCCCCAUCCCCUCGACGACCCCCGCCCCUGCCCCCCCGGGCUGUUCGGGGCCGGAUCCCGGCAGCGGCCUCCCCAAAGCGACAGGUAACGCAGUGCGGGGUUAGGGAUUCCCCGGGAGAGAGGACGAAGCGAGGAGAGUUCUCCAUCCCCUCUCCCCGCGUGGACUCCUGAGCCUGCGGGUCCAGGGUGGGGGGCUGUCACUUUAUUCGCUACACGCCUCUUCUCUCCUAUAAGGAUGCGCCCCACCCCGCUUUCCCCUUUCUCCGGGCUUGGUUUUUUACGGUUUUUAUUUAUUCGUGGAGCCUCUCGGCUCCUGGGGUCCUUCUAACUCCGCCCGCGCCCUUAAUUUAAAUCGCAGUAUACUGUAUUUAUCGGGGCCCCGGAGGGGAGGUCGCGAGAGCCGCGUCUGUGUAUAAAAGCAGGAAAUAGCCAAAGCUUUAAUCUAGCCUAAUUUAUUUUUCCCCUUAUAUUUCCCUACCCUACCCUCCCCCCAAAAAAAAGCAAAAAAAAAAAAAAAAAACUAACAAAAAAAAUUCGAGUGUUCAUUUUUCGUUUCGUUUCAUCCGAGCCCCGGCUUGGUUCCCGGCCACGCCGGAGGGGUCUGCGCUCCCACACACCCAGACGGGAAGGGGCUUCUGCCCUGCUGCAGACCGACCGCCGCAUAGCGCGGCCCCUGCUCCCCGCGGGGCCCUGCCCUCCUGGCCACACCAAACGAAACUUGGAAAAGUUAGAGAGAUUGUUUUUUAACCAGCUGUAGAAAUAAGCCGUUCCCUGAGAACCCUCCGCCUGAUUCCCUGCAGCUUCCCUCUGCUCCCUUUCCAGCCCGCCGGGAUGCGGGAUGCCAGGGGAGGCCGGGAGAGAAAUUCCCCAAGUUUGGGGUGAGGUGGGAACCAUGUAAAUAUGUGAGAUAUGUACACACUGGCGGGGAGAAGAAACAUUUUGUGCUUGGUUUUUAUUUUUGGUUUUCCGGGUUACCCUUCCUUCCUACCCUAAAGGAUUUUGUACACUGACUAAUCCGAAAAAGAUAUUUUAAUAUGAUUUCCGAAUUUCUGACCCAUCUCUAUUUAUUUUCUGGAUGUGUUUGGAGCUUCCCCCUUCUCCGUUUCUUCUUCUGUUUGUUAAGGUUUGAAUUUAAAUUUUGUUAUUUUAUUUUUAUUAUUUUUUGAAACAAUGUUUCGGUGCAUUCUCUUUGUAUCUUUAUUGAAAAAAAAAUAAUGUAGACUGGGAAGUUCCCUUUAUAUUUAUGUUAUAGUAAAUAUUUUAUU